ACGGCUCAGUAACACGUGGAUAACCUGCCCUUGGGUCCGGCAUAACCCCGGGAAACUGGGGAUAAUUCCGGAUAACUCGCAUAUGCUGGAAUGCUUUUCGAGUGAAAUGGAUUCGUCUGCCCAAGGAUGGGUCUGCGGCCUAUCAGGUAGUAGUGGGUGUAAUGUACCUACUAGCCUACGACGGGUACGGGUUGUGAGAGCAAGAGCCCGGAGAUGGAUUCUGAGACAUGAAUCCAGGCCCUACGGGGCGCAGCAGGCGCGAAAACUUUACAAUGCGGGAAACCGUGAUAAGGGGACACCGAGUGCCAGCAUCAUAUGCUGGCUGUCCAGGUGUGCAAAAUACACCUGUUAGCAAGGGCCGGGCAAGACCGGUGCCAGCCGCCGCGGUAACACCGGCGGCCCGAGUGGUGAUCGUGAUUAUUGGGUCUAAAGGGUCCGUAGCCUGUUUGGUCAGUCCUCCGGGAAAUCUGACAGCUUAACUGUUAGGCUUUCGGAGGAUACUGCCAGACUUGGAACCGGGAGAGGUAAGAGGUACUACAGGGGUAGGAGUGAAAUCUUGUAAUCCCUGUGGGACCACCUGUGGCGAAGGCGUCUUACCAGAACGGGUUCGACGGUGAGGGACGAAAGCUGGGGGCACGAACCGGAUUAGAUACCCGGGUAGUCCCAGCCGUAAACGAUGCUCGCUAGGUGUCAGGCAUGGCGCGACCGUGUCUGGUGCCGCAGGGAAGCCGUGAAGCGAGCCACCUGGGAAGUACGGCCGCAAGGCUGAAACUUAAAGGAAUUGGCGGGGGAGCAC
rnacentral:rRNA from 1 species